UGAGAAAAAGUAAAUAUUUAUAAAAUGGGGUCUUGCUAACAAGUUAAUGCACUUGUCAAGAAAGCAAGAAAAUAGAAAUUUUACAUUGAAAACAACAAUUUUUUAAACAUUCAUAAAGUUGAAUGUACAUUUUUUCACCAUUUUUCAAGAGAAUAUUAAUACUUUAAUUUCUUUAACAAGUGCCUUAAGAACACUCUUUAGCAUUUCCUUUAUAAAAUAUAUCAAUGAACUAUUGGAAGCACUCCCUUGCAUAACUUACUAGGCCUAAUUCCAUGUAAUAACGAGCAAGUAAAGAAAUUGUGGGAGGUGGAUGAAAAUAUGUCCCAGCCAGCUCUCAAUUAGACAACUCAAAAGCAAUGAAAAUGUAAGACAAGAUAAGCUGCUAUAAAUAAUGAGCUCUUGUUGCCAUAUAUUCUGAGUCAUGGACUCCAUUCCUCACUACAAUUGUGAAAUUCCUAUCCUUCUAUAUACAAAAUCUUAUUGUGAGUAAAACCAUGAGCCGAGAAAAUAAGGUAUUUGUAGAACGUUGCACAAAGUAGUGGUAUACGUCGUGUCGUCCAUUUUUUUAAAAUUUUAACUACUAGGUAAAUUUGGCAUGUUGAAUACAUAACUUGUUUCUGACACAACCAAACUAAACAGUUCAGCAUUUCAUGAUAAGAUCUGGUCUAAAUGAAUGUGACUUGAUAUCUCAUGGAGGAGCAUAAGAGUGCAGGGGCAGUCAAUUCCACAAUAAAAGUUGUCGAUCCGAGCAAGGUAAGAAUUAGCUAAAGCAGAGUUUUCACGUACUAGAGUCUCAAUAUCUGAGAUAUCUAUCUGCUCCCUGGAUUUCAACAUGUCAUCAAUAGAGAACGGAAUGCUGCAAAAUCAAUGCUUAAAAUGGUUAAUGUUGCACACAAUAUCAUUAUCACCAUACCGAUUUUCAAAAGGAUAUAUUAACUACUACAAGCCUGUCAAACUAGUAUCUACUACUACAUAUAAAACAAAGACCCCCUUAUGCCACUGUCGUGCUUCCAAGCUCUCAAUUUCCUGCCAUGCGAUUCUAGGAUCAUGGGUUUACAGGAUUAGUCGGUCUUUAUCUAUCUGUGUUUUGAGUAGCUUAUUUUGCAACGAGAAAACUUGUUUUUUUUUUGUCAGCUUUCGAAGGGUUGUAUUUUGAAAAUUAACUGCCCAAGAAAAGAGCUUUCAGCCAAAUGAAUGUGGUUAUAAGCAACAUGGCAAAUUUUCCCUUAUUAUUUGUAAGUGUUACAUGCUGCCACAUAGAAUUCUUGCGUUUCUUGUCAAACACCCCUCACAACAAUAAGCAUUUCCUUGUGGGAAAGAGGACGUAAUGAUGAAACCCAAUUCACCCAGCUGUUGCAACGCCAACAUGCACAAGGUCAAAUUCAUUAAAUAUAAUGUGAACCAAUGCCAAGUAGUUGAGAUUUGAGAAGAAUUGAAGUCAGGGAUCAUUGCAUUUAGAACAGCCCCAAAUCACGGGGCUGACACAAGCUUAUCUCAGUUUAUGUUUAUUUAGUAUUUGGUUUCCAUGUGUCAUAUCUUAAACAAAUUAAUAAGAAAUAUUUGGUAAAAGCACCACUAAAAUGAGUAAAAUCAACUAUUAGUAAGUAUGAAAAAUAAAAGGAAAAAUUUACAACUAUUUGGCUUACCUUGAAUCAUUAUCCAACAAGAAAGAAUUACUAAUUGCAUUAUUUGAAUCUUCAGUCAUCAACACUCACAUAUUGGAAAUGACCUAGAAGAAAACAUUGAUAAGAAAAAGAUCAACAUAGUUUUUCUGCAUUAUUUGAAUCUGCAGUCAUCAACACAAGUCAUGGCUUAUUUCAUCCGAAGUUUUCUUUGGUUUCUGAUGGAUGACCUAAAUAAAGGUAAUGAAAAAUAAGUUUACCAUACUUUCCCAUCUCUGACCAUUAGAAGGACAAACAAAAUGCUUUUUUUUUUUACUAGAGAAAAUAAUGCUGCUAUGAUAGAAGAGAAUGGAAAAUUGGGGACUGGUUAGAUAACUAAAUAGGUGUGAGGCCAGGUUUUUUUUCUCUUUGUUUUUUAAAAGCAUGUGAGGCCAUGGUACCAUUGAGAUUUGUUAGCAUUGAGUAAAGUGAACAAAUAUUCUGUAGUAAGGGCAAAACCUUCAAAGAUAACCCAUUCUCCUAUUCUUAACCAUUUAACAAAUUAUUCCUAAUUUCUGUUUCCAUCAUUUUUCCAUUUCUCCUCUCUACGUUCCUAAUCUAUGCAAGAUGGUAUCUAGUGAAAAAUAUAGAUACCAGAAAUCCAAUAGCUUGUCUAAUAUGUUCGAGCUCAUCCCAGUCCGAACCUGUGUACCACAUUUUUUUUUUGUUUUCGAGAAAGGAUAGGUGGGUUAGUAUGUACCUAUUAAAAGACCUACAUGCAAUAUCAGCAGUGUUUCGCCAAACCAGCUUUGACAAAUUCUCCAUUACUAAAUGAGCAGCACUCCCAUCUUUAAAGAAGAUUGUAAUAAAAAAUGAACACUUGAAGAUAUCAAAAUGAGAAUCCAAAAAAAGUAUACAUUAUUUUAUCAUAGUGGUAUAUUUAAGGAGAAAACUAAGAUGUAAUACCAUAAGUACUGCUUUUGUUGUUCGUCUAACAAAGAGGCAGUUAUUUUACACCCUUUUAAUUUUUUUUGCAACAGUUAUAUUGUUGUUUUUUAGUAGAGAGCAGUGGGAACAGUCCCUAUGAAAUUGUACCCAAAUAUAUACAUCUAGAGCCAGAAGGGUUGUUGGCACAAAUUUCCAUAAGGAGGCAGAAUCAUAGAAAUAAUGAUGUCACAGAGGUCUUAUUGACAUGAUUUGCUUUUGAAGUAUAUAAAAAAUUUCCUAGGCUCUUCACUGUCCCAUGCUAGCGGGCAAUCAUUAUGCGCUGGGCAUUGGUGUUUGCAACAGAACAUGAUGAUCACUUGACCAAUCUUGCUCUGGAAGUUCUUGGCGCCAAUCUCAUCACAUAAAAACAGCAAUGUCUCAAUUGAUUGCCUGAAAAAUAACAAACUGAAUUUCAAGGGAAAUGUAUCAAAUGGAGAAAAAUGGCCAUUUAUGUCAGCAUGCAUGCUAGAUCAGCUCAUAGAAGCUUUACUAUAGAGUUAAUAAAGAAAUUGUCAUACCUGGAUGCAUAAUCCAAGUAAUGGAGAAAUUUCUUUCUUGAAGUUAUCACGAAGAACCCUGAUUUAGACUGCAAAAGGAAAUCAUUCCAGAAUUAGGAGUGACCUUGUUUCCAUUUCUGUAGAUUUGUAUCGUGUUAUUAUAUGCGUGUGCGCGCACGCACGUGUAGACACAUAUUGUUGUCUGCAAUCUUUUCAAUAAAACAAUAUUUACUUAGAUUCCAUUUAUGGUUUUGUUAUUUCACAUUAUCUGAAAAAUGAAAGCUUUUCAAUGGGAAUUAAUCUAUUCAAAACAGAAGCUAUGUUUACUUGAGUCAUCCUCCCAAACAGGGCUGCUGAUGAAGAACAGUGGCAUUGUGGAGCCAUUCCAUAAGAACCGCUUGCUUUGAGUAACAAGAAAAGUUUGGAGGCAUGGGAUAACCAAUAGGCCAAGCAUUGUUGAUAUCCUGGGUCUGAAGUCCAAAUGGAAAUAUCAGUGACUUGAAGUGACAUGUUAGGAAAAGGAGCAAGAAAAAGAGCAUUAGCAUGAGCAAGUUUUGCUUUUCAUACCUUAAUUGCAUGGUCAAUAGUUUGGGUGAUACGAUCGAAAACAUUAGUACUAGCACCCUCAACUUCAAAUGAUCUCCAAUGCAAGAGACAUUUGUCUAUGAUACAAGCGGCAAUUAGUCUGUUCCCAGCCAAUUCUAGAAGUUGUGCAAUACAUCUAAUGGAUUACUUUUGAUUAUUCUAUUAUUCUCAUUUCAUGACAUUUGCGGCUUAUCCUUUAUUUCAGAGGAUUCCCUCUAGGUCCUUGAUGUGCUUGCAGUUCCUGAUUAAUCCAUUAGGUGACCAAGAAAAAAAGUAAAAGGUACAUAGAAAUGCCCAAAUCAAUCAUAGUCCAUUGAAAAGAUUGUUACAAAAGAUGUCUUUUGCAUCCCACAACAACAUGACCACUUUCAGCAGCUCUCAACCAACAGAGACAAGAAACUGUUUUAAACCAAUGUCAAACUUUAAUUUAUUGGCUUAAUUUCAGUUUUGGCCCCCUAAGUAUCACAAUCUUGCGAUUUUGCCACCCUAUAAAAAACAAUAACAAAUCAUCCCCCUUUUGCACUUUUGGCCCCCCAAACCAAUUUUGACCACGUCAAUGCAUACGUGGCACCCACGUCACUUAAAGUGAGGUGCCACGUGUGACUUUCUAUUUUCUUAGGGGGCCAAAACUGCAAUUAAGCGUAAUAAAUAAAGUGAUUUGGGUGCCACGUAUGCAUUGACCCAGUCAAAAUUGGUCCGGGAGGCCAAAAGUGCAAAAGGGGUAAACUUAGGGGGCUGAUUUGUUAUUAUUUUUUUAUAGGGGGCCAAAAUCGCAAGAUUGUGAUACUUAGGGGGCCAAAACUGCAAUUAAGCCUAAUUUGUUUUCAUGCACAGUAUUUAAUAGGAGGUGUACCUGAACAAUUGAUCUGGGGUAUCAUGAAGGGAACUUAUUAAGUGCCAUGGAGACAGCUUGUUGACGUAGAACCUGCUUCCCUGGUUCUAAAGUAGUGAUCUUCUCUUAUAGCCUAGUAAUAGAAUUGCGAGAUUUUGUUCAACCAUCCGUGCAAAUUAAGAGUGGGAUUGACUUAGCUUUUGAUGAUGACUUCUGAAAUUAGCUAGAAAUUCUUUUGAGAAGUAAACCUACGGUAAGGAAAGAUAAAUUUAAUUUAGCCAAUGAGAUUAUCCCAUAAUUCACGAGAAAGAAAACCUCCACAAUAACUCAAAGUUUAAACAUUUCAUUCAAUAUUUUCAGAAAGUCAUUAUUGAUUAUCAUGAGUAGACGUAAAUCAGGGAUUAUUUUUCAUUAUAUAUAUUACCUGGUCAUUGAUUCUUGGAGCUGACGAAGCUUCUUCUCCGUGUCUUCUAACCUUUUACCUCUUUCUUCACUGCAAAUUUUAGCUUCGUUAUAUUUUCUUUCAAAGCUGUUGCAUUUCAGUUUCUCUAACUUGAGUGAUGUCUGAAGAUAAUGACAAGAAACAGGCAUAUCACCAUGAGGCAGCUUAGAAGGAAAUUGUGAUCCUUAGUCAGUUUUGUGAUAAACUAAUCCAAAGGCAUAUUCAAAUACAAAACAUUUUACUUGAAUCAUUACACAUUGUUAAUAAUACGUCGAAUUAAAACAUAUCAUGCUAAUGCAAAUUAUUGGCGAUAUAAAACCAUUCAUGUGCCUUCAUCUAGCCUCUUUAUUUUUAAAUGAUUUGUUCCUAACAUGCCUACUUGGUAUCGAGGCCUACAUUAAUCCUUGCCAUCCACAUUCUUCACAACUGUUCAUAACCGGUAAGUUUCAGCAUAAGGUAAAGUGCACUUGUAUAUUGUCCACGUUUGAAGCUCAAAGAGCUUGUUGUCCAGGAGGGAUAUCAUUGGAUAUAUGUGAAGCAUCAAUCCUCCAGGGUUUAGGUGUGUCCAUGUGUCCAACAUGCAUCAGAAACUAACACUCGCAUGACACAAGAACAAUACAUGUCAGACACCUUAGAUAAGUUUCAAGGAAAAGAAAUUCCCGUUUCGACAUAAUUGUUCAUAUCUAAAGUAGGUUUCAUUUUGAGGUAAAAUACACUUGCAUAUUGUCCACACUUGGAAACCCAAUGGGCAUAUUCUUCACGGGGGAAUACAUCGUACAUCUAUGUAGCACCAAGACAGUGGGUUUCGGUGUGUUCACGUGUCCGACACGCAUUGGACAAUAACACACGUAUGACACUACUCACCAGGAAGAUCAUGCUCAGACAAAUGUCCAAAAAACAAAUUCCCACUAUGGUAUAUCUUCAUUGUUCAGACAGUCGCAGCUACAGUGAGAAUAGAUAGGGAUUCAAAAAGUUUCGACAUAUGCAUGUCUUCCUUUACUUCGGUCUUCAUCUUUUUUUCAUGGUUUCCCUUUUCUAGUUUCCAAUUAUGUUUAUGUUUCGCUCUUCGUCUUCAGUCUGUCACGGAGCUCUAUCUUCAAGUGACGUCUCCUUUCCUUCCACUGCGCCUUAUGUGGUCAACGUCUUUGUUAUAUUUGCAGUUAGCGUCCGCUUUCAGACAUGUCUCGUUGUUUUGCUUUAAUCUUGGUGUCUCCUCAAAUGAAGUCUCUUCUUCAGUCUGCAUCUUCAAUUUGCAUUCACUGCUUCAGGUACCUCUUUGACUGGUUACUUGAUGGUUUCAAUAGUAGUUUCAUGAUGGACCGGUUUGAAAAUUAUUCUGCCACAGUUUCUUCAUUUACUAAUAUAUUUGUCAACAUGUUAAAAUUACCACAUGUGUGAUGCAUUUUUAAGCAUUUGGUGAUCAUCUUGAUUCUCAACUUAGAUUUAUUAUAAAUGAUGAUCAUAUUUAAUUUUAUUUAAUAAUAUGUGUAUCCGUGUUAGCGUCGGUCUUAUAUUUUGGAAAUAAUGUUUGUGUUGUGUCCUAUGUCCAUGCCUUUGUCUCAUUGACGGGCAUCAACUGUCAGUCACAUGUUGGACCACUGACUAAUAAUAAAUAAUAAACAUUAUAAUAGGAGACCCAAGGAGGUGUGUCGAUGCUUGAAAUAAUUUGGGCAUAUAUGUAAUGUAUUCAUGGCAGUUAUGUUUUGUAUUUUGGCAGUAAUGCAUUUGUAGAAUUAUAGCAACUCUUAUUUCAAGCAUCGACACACCACAAAUGCUUCAAAGCUCUCUAAUUCCAUUUGUAGAAGAGGCCAUGGUCUGUCCCUAUUUUGGCAGUAUGGCAGUUUGUGGCAUCUUCACAUGGAACUUCUUUCUGGCCCUCAAUCUGAUAAUAGCAACUCUUAUUUAUAUCUGUUAUAUUUUUCUUUCCAAUUAACCAAUAAGUUUUGAAGAAGAGGCCCAAGAAUCAAUGUAUUACUCUAAGAACUCUAUAAGCCAUAUAAAACUGAAAGAUAUAGCCACACGCCCACACCAGAUUCCAAUUUUCAAAGAAGCAUUAUGUACAUAAAGAGAGGCAUCCUUGAAAUAAGGUUCACCUAACAGAUAAGUAUGUCCAGCUUUACCUUUAGGUUGUCAACUUCCAUUCUCAGUCUCUUAAUCUUCUCUUUAUCUUCAACAAGAACCAUUGCUUCUUUAAUGACAGGAGAUGCUACUUCAAUAGCUUUCUUUGCAUUCUCUCGCUCCCAGAGGAGCAGAGCAUUAGUUUCAUCAACUUUUCUCUUCAUCUCCUGCAAUGAAUUCUGCAGUUUUGCUAUCUCCUGUGCUUUAAAUUCUGCUAGAUUUGUCUGCACAAGAUUCCAAAUGGUUUUCAUGAGGGUUUGCCAAUUUCCAAGAUACUUGGGAACUUUCAAAUACUUUGGCCUUUUACCCUUCUUUUUAUUUCCAAUUUGUGCAAAAAUGUUUUUCAAAAUGACAAAUGUGUAAGAGAUCAGAACAGCAACAUCCUCCCAAGUUAUAUCUAUCAACAAAAGAUAUAUCUCACCCUUAAACCUUUUUCCAGUUGGAGACGCCAUUUAAGUUCCUCCACUUGUUUUUCAAGCUUACCCUUUGCUUCUUUAAGUGGGCCAGUAUCUCUUGCAGCCUAAAGCAAAUGGAAACAGAUGUCUAGUUAGAUGAGAUAAAAAUAAAAUAAGGGAAUGGUAUAAUAAAAAAUGAAAUUAAGGUUUAUGAUAAUUAAUACUAAAAGUGAGUCAUAAGUAAGCAACUUAAUCAGUUAGAAAGAGUUGAGGACAGUUUUAGAUGUGAUCCUUCAUAUAACCAUAAAAAAGAAGAAAGAAAGAUCAGGGGAUAGAGAACUUUUACAUGAAAUCAUUCAGGGUCAAUACAAAUGGGAUAUUCAUGUCUGUAGUUCUCUCCAAGGUUUUUUAUUUUAUCAGCAUCACUUCUUUCACAAUUAAGAUUUGACAAUGGUUUAAUAAAUCCAAAUUAAAAACAGAAGAAGAAUGGAGUCUGUUUGAUUUAGUUUAAAAAAAAAAUUAAAAGAAAAAACUUGUUUGAGUCCAAAUUAAAAACUUGUUUUGCAGUUGGAGAUGCAUCUCACCUUUAAACCUUUUUCCAGUUGGAGAUGCCAAGUAAGUUCCUUCACUUUUUUUUCAAGCAUACUCUUUGCUUCACGAAGUGCGCCAGUAUCUCUUGCAGCCUAAAGCAAAUGGAAACAGAUGUUCACUUAGAUGAGAUAAAAGUACAAUAAGGGAAUGAUCUAAUGAAAAUUGAAAUUAAGGUAUAUGCUACUUAAAUACUAAGAAUGAGUCAAAAAUAAGCCACUUAAUCGGUUCGAACAAGGUGAGGAUAGUUUUAGAUUUGAUCCUUCAUAUAAGCACCAAAAAGAAGAAAGAUCAGGGGACAGAGAACUUGCGCAUGAAUUAAUCCAGGGUCAGUACAGAUAGGAUAUUCAAAUUUGUAGUUCUCUCCAAGGUUUUGUAUUUUAUAAGCAUCACUUCUUUCACAAUUAAGAGUUGACGAAAUCCAAAUUAAAAACAGAAAGAGAAUAACGUUUUUGGAUUCUGUAAUCACAUGAGAAAAGUAAAAGCCAUUUUCAACUUUUCUGAUCAGAAGACUAUUUCUAUUUUAUUCUAUUGUUUUUCCCUUCACAAAAAUAAUGGCAAUGAUGGAAUAACAAAGAAUGAAAUUUGAAUGUAAUUUUUCAUGAUGAAGCAUAACUUUAUGAUUAAAAAAUCAUAAGAUAUUGUAUUUCACCUAUUGUUUCUGAAGUUAUGCAGGUUGAGUACAGUAGGGUUCUACUUAAUGUAUAAGAAUCAAUGUAAACGUAGAAAUGUACCAUUUUCAGUUUCCUAAGUUCUCCCUUAGCUAAACGCCCCCUCCAUCUACAUUGUGUAACUAUUGAACCUUUUUUGAGCCUCUUAUAUUGUAAGACCGCUUUGUGGCACCGCCACUGAGCCUGCAAUUUUUUGUGACAGAAAAUUUUAAAUAACGAACACUAAUGGCUCCAUAGUAAAUAAUCUAAAUUAGUUUACGACCAAAACCUGAAUAAUGAUGGAAGCUUUGGUCUGUUUCCUAAAUCUGAAUUCCUUGCAAGCAGCAAUGGCCCUUAAAGCUGUUUGCAAAGUAAGUACUGACAUAUGAAGUUUUUUAUACGCCUUCCUAGUUUCGUAACUGCGUAUGUUCUUUUGAAUUUUCACAGCAGCGGCCUCCCUUCUCAUUUUCUCAUAGAGUUUGAAUGCGAGUCUUCCUACAAAAAGCAUGUUGUGUAUAUUAAAUUAAAUCAUGUAGAGAAGGGAGAAUGAUUGUGUAAUGAGGCCAGAUACACUGUUCUAAUUAAGGACGUCUAUACUUUGUGAAAAUAAAAUUACAUCUAUCCUAAGAAAUGAAUUAGGCUAUUUCACCUCUCCACCAAGACUGCACAUAUAUGGUCUUCUUUUGCAAUGCAAGAAAAUGUUUCCGAGCUUGAUGGGUUCGUAUGUGCUGUUGGAUAACUUUGGUUGCAUUACCAAGUACUUGAGCUCUCUGAGCAUCUAGUUCAGCCAUCUGACCUGCUCUCAAGAAUACCUUUGUUUUUCCAAUCUACAACAUUGGACAGCCGAUCAAACAAAUUAUGUGAAUGUAUGAGUCAGGAAUAAAUACACAAACGCAUGUUUUAAGACUAUACAAGACCCCUGAUGAUAUUUGUAACUAAAUCUAAAAAAGGCAUCGUAAAUGAAUGCUAUGACGUGCAUGGGUAGAGCUGUCAAAAAUGGGCCGGGCUCAUGGGCCGGCCCAUUGGCCCAUAUUUUUGGGCCGGGCCGGGCCUAAAAAACUAACCAAAAAAUGCGCUCGGGCUUUUUUGGCCCAAGCCCAUUUGGGCCAGACAAAAGUAGGGCCGGCCCAUUGGCCCAUAUUUCAUUUUAUUUUUGUUAAAAAACAACAUAUUUUUUUAAAAAAUUAUCAACUAAUUUAAAAUUUAUUAACAAAAAAAUAUUUAAAUAAAUAAACUUAAUAAAUAUGGAUGAAUUUAGCUUACAGUUUUAAAAUUUUAAAGUUUAUAAAUUAUUAAUUUGAUUUAAUUGAAAGAAUAAUCUUGAGUUUAAUUAUUAUUCAAUGUUAAUGUAAAAAUUAUUUAUAUUUUUAUGUCCAUCCAAUCAUAUUUUAGCAAAAAAAUAAUGGUGAGUAACUAAUACAUAAGAAAAUAUAUAAAAAAAGUGAAUAAAAUUUAAAAAUAAAACACAAACGGGCCAGGCCGGGCUGGCCCAUGGCCCACCCGGGCCGGGCUCUAGAUUUUACGGCCCAAUCAUAAACGGGCCGGGCCGGCUGGCCCAUUUCUAUAGUCAGGCUUGGGCCGGGCCGGCCCAUUUGACACCUCUAGUUAUAGUUGUUGCUAAGGUGUCAAGAGCUUUAUAUUAGAACUAUGGACAAGAACACAAAAGCAAUAAUUAUUCUGCUGUAAUAUUUCAAAUUACCCGAUAUCCUUUAAGCCCCGUCUUCUCCAGAAUCUUUUGGCAAGCAUUCUUUUCAUUACAGCUGCUCAUUGGUGAAAUAACUCGACAAAUUAGCAGUAUGCUCAAAUUUAGUCCAAAAUAUUUGACAUGUUAAAUCAAAGUUUACGUCCUCCUGGGCAUAGAAUAUAUACUAAAAGAGUGCUUACUUUGCUUCUAUGGCCUCUGGGGCAAGGAGACCAAAUCUGUUCACAAAUUCAAAGAAAGGGCGGCGUGUAGGAUAGCCAGCACAACUGAUUCUGAUAGCAUCUAAUACACCCUGCAGGGGAAAGAGUUUGUGACAGCUGAAGAAGGACUGAAGACUUGCAGGAAGAACAUAAAAGUAUACUCACACCACAACGAAGUUGAUGCAUAAUGUUGACAUUCUCAAAAAUUGCAGGCUUGAGGAGGUUGUUUGGUUUCACACAUCUAAUGUAAUGGGGUUCUGUUGAACUUAAUGUUUCCAUUAGCUGCUGUAGCUGUAGCUGUACCAUCCAAAUUUUAUUAGCUUCCUGAUAAUAAGGAUGCAGAUAAAUUUUUGUUGACUAGAGCUUGCGACAAAUUUGUUAUUUGAGGCAAACUCCACAAAUGUACCAAAUUACUAAUGAAGUUUUGGAAAAGAAAGAUACCUUAAAACGAGAACCUAUUGAUGAAAAUUUGGAAGAUUUUGAUGUCUCUUCUGGAAGUGGUGGAAAAAGGGCAGAUACAAAAGGACAUUUGGAAGCAAUCAAUAAAUCUUGAUAUUCAGGAACCACAUAAUCCUUGUUUUUGUCUAAAAAAUGGUCAGAUUGGUAUGUCACCUGCAUAUUUAUGACAGUAAAAAUGAAUAUGCAGUAAAAAAAUUGCAGCAAACCAUUUUGGAAAGAGCUAGGCAUACCUCUCCAGCAUAAUGGGCAAUGGUGAAAUCUGUUUGAGACAAUUUUGGCUUAAUAAAGCGCUUGUUAUUCUUAAAUGUUUGAUAAAGCUUGUUUGCAAAUGUUUCAUGUGUUGACUUUGGAAACAUGCUGCAAGACAAAGGAGAUGAUAAAAGGAGAAUAAUGUAGAUUCAGUAUGUUAUGUAACACGAAGCUUUAGAUUCAACGAAACUGAACAAAUCUGGAUCAUGUCUAACUAAAGAACAUAUGAAGAAAAGUUAAAACCAUCUAGCAAGCACUUAAAAAGAUGUUUAUGGAAAGUAACGAUAGUUUACCAAGCUUCGUCGAGGAGAGCAAUGAUUCCUCCGGAUUUCUGAAAAAGCAAAAUCAAGAUAAAAGAACAGUAAAAGAAGGGUAGCAGAACAAAAGAGAAGGAAAAGACUCACCAAGGAUCAAAUUAGGAAAUAAAAUAAGCCCAAAAUAGUAACCUAGUGGAAGACUGGUCAGAAAUAAAGAUACCGUUGUAAAUAUGUGAUUGCUCUUAUUUAGGGUAGAAUCGUACUUGUAAUUAUUAACAUAUACUGCACCCGUUUCAAAAUAAGUGUCGUUUAAAGACAUGAAGCUUUUACCAAACUAACCUUAACAACCAUUAGUGUGCUUCCCACCAUCAUAAAUGCAAAGUGAAAUAUAAUGUUUUGGGAGUAGUGACUAGUGAGUGUACAUAGUACUAAUUAGAGGGCACAAUUGAAAAAAAAUAAUUAAGUCUACAUUGGUUUGGUAAGCUGAUUUACUUGUCACACACUAGACCUGACAUCGUCUUCUCAAUCAGUGUAAUGAGUUAAUUUAUGCAUUCUAUUUUGAGGAACAUCUUGAGGCAGUUUAUGGAAUACUGAGAUAUUUGAAGACAAAUCCUGGAAGGGGCUAUCUUUUAAGAAGACUAGUAAAAAGAAUGUCUUUAUCCACACUAAUGCUGAUUGGGCGCUGGGCAGGGUCAGUCACAUACAGAAGAUCAACCUCUGGAUAUCGUACAUAUGUCUGGGGUAAAUCUUGUGACAUGGAGAGGAGUGGGGUUGGAAUACGUGUGUUUUCUAGAAGAAUCCACACGAUUCUUUUAAUUAAUGCAUAUCUUCUUGUAUCUUCCUAUUUAUUGUCUCUUUAUUUUUAUUUUCCUAAUAUUCUCAUUGAGAAUUAUUAUCAUUUAUUGUAAUGCUCUAUAUAAGCAGCCUCUUGACUGAUGAAUAAAGCAUAACAACAUUCACCCUAUUUCUUUCUACAUAGCACAAUUGGAGUUGCUAAGGAGUGUGUUGGGUUAUGUUAUUUUCAACACAUGGAGGUUGAAGAUAGGACUAGCAAGGUUUUGACUUUCAAAACAGGACAGAGAAGAGAUUCUGAAAAAACACUUACAAUGUAAUUUAAACAUGCUAGAAAGACAGCAUGACGGAAGAGAGUUUCAAAAACAUGGUGUGGAAUUUUGUAAUGGUUAACAAGAUGGUGUGAAAUCCGAAUAAUUAGGGGAACUCGGCAGCAGAAUAACUAUAUGACUAUACCGAGGACAAUACCACAUUGAUACUAAGUUGAAGUUAUAAGGUUUCAAAUAAAGAGAGGAGAAAAAGAAUACAACAACAACCAAGUCUUUUCCCACUAAGCGGGGUCGGUUACAUGGAUCAAAUAUUGCCAUAAUGUUCUAUCGUAAACCAUAUUUCCAUCCAACUCAUUAAUUAUCAAAUCUUUCCUAAUAGUUUUUCCAGAUCUUCCUCUGCCUCUAGGGAUCUGACUAUCCUCCAUAUGAUCUUCUCUCCUUACUACAUAAUCUAUAGGUCUUCUCUCUACACGUCCAAACCACCUAACCCUAUUUUCCACCAUCUUUUCUACCAUAGGUGCUACUCAAACUCUCUCUCUAAUAUUGUCAUUUCUAAUCUUAUCACACCUAGUCUUAUCACACCUAGGGCUCUUUUCCAUUUCAACCACACAGAUCGAAUUCGAUGAUUUACAUAUGCUUCUAUUUCUCCGUCGCUUUGUACUAUGGACCCAAGAUGUUUAAGCAGCGUAACUUGUGGUAUGAUAUGAUCUCUAGCUUUCACCUCCAAGGUAGAACUACUAUGUCUUUUGCUAAAAUUACAUUUCAUAUACUUUGUCUUGCUUGUACUCAAGAAAAUGCCAUAUGCUUCUAGGACUUGUCUCAAAGUCUCCAACCUCCCAUUCAAUUCCUCUCUCGACUCUCCAAGCAGGACGACAUCUUGUGCACAAAGCAUACAUAUCGGUGCUAGCUCUUGGAUGUGUUCUGUAAGUACAUCCAAAACUAAGUUAGAAAUAUAUGGGCUUAAGUUUGAUCCUUGGUGCAAUCCUAUUGUUAUGGGAAAAUCGUCGGCGACCCCAUCUUGUGUACUCACACUAGUUGAAGUCCCCUCAUGCAUAUAUUUGAUAGCUCGAACAUAAGCAAUCAUAACUCAUUUCUUUUCUAGGGCUUUCCAAAAAACCUCUCUAGGCACUAUUAUAAGCCUUCUCCAAAUCAAUGAAAACUAAGUGUAUAUCUUUUUUAUUUGUCCAAUAUUGUUCCAUCAUACGUCUAAGUAAGUAGAUCACUUCCAUAGUCGACCUCCCAGGCAUAAAUCUAAAUUGGUUAUAAGUAACUCGAGUAUUUUUUCUUACUCUCCGUUCAAUCACUCUUUCCCAUAACUUCUUGGUAUGACUCAAGUUUAACUCCUCUAUAAUUUGCACAAUUUUUUAUAUCCAUCUUGUUCUUAUAGAUCGGAAUUAAAGUGCUUCUUCUCCACUCAUUUGGCAUUUUCUAUGUCCUCAUAAUUUCGUUAAAAAAUUUGGUGAGCCACUAAAUGCCUUUAACUCCAAGACUUUUCCACACUUCAAUAGGUAUGCUGUCUGGCCCAACUGCUUUGCUAUUACUCAUCAUUUUCAACGAUUCUACACCGUGUUCUUGAAUUCAACGAUGGUAGUUAAAAUUUGAUUAUGAUUGAUAUUCGAUGAUACAAAGAUAUCAAACAUUGACCCUAAUACAACUUCAAAUCCUAAUUAAAUGGAGAAAUAAAUCAUGAUAAUGAAUAAUUAAUAUGGAAAUUAAUCUGAAGAGAUACUGAGAUAGGAAAUUAAUCCUAUGAGAUAAUAUCAAGAUAUUUAAAGACCUUUUUCAUAUAUUCUAACAAAGGCUUCCAAAACAAAAUGAAUUAAGUAUAUCCUCAAUGCCUUAGAGAAACUGAGAAAGGGAAAAAGGAGAAAGAAAACCUUUUCAAUAAGGUCCAAAACAUCUUUGUUGUCCACAAAUUCAAUGUAGCUCCAAUUGAUCUCCUCCUUUGCAUAUUCUUCUUGUUCCAUUUUGAACAUAUGCUGAAAUUCGUCAUCAAAACCAUAUUAAAUAUGGAAAUUAAAAAAGGAACUUGAAGUGCAUAAUUUAGUCUGAAAUUUUGCCUGAUUGAAAUGUUGCUGCAACUUUUCAUUUGUGAAAUUAAUGCAGAACUGCUCAAAACUGCAGAGCAUGACAAACUGAAAAUAAGUUACAAAAGAAUGAACUUGAAAACAAGCAUAGGUGGAUGCUUUCAAUAUCUUCAGUAAUGCAAUCUUGUGGAUGAACUUGUACAGAUAGGUAUAUUUAUUCUUCUAAACUAUUAUAUUACCUGUUCAAUUUAAAGCUUUCGAAACCAUAGAUAUCAAGGACCCCAAUCAAACAUUUAGAAUUGGGGUCUUGUCCAAUUGAAUUAUUAAUCUUGUCCACCAGCCUACAGCAUACAUAAAUGCACCAGGAAUCAAAAUCAGAACCCUGUAUCCUUUUCUUCAGUACGUUUUGCAUUAAUUAGACAAUAUAGAGGUCUGAAAAAUGGAUUAAUUUGCCUUUUAGAGUCCUACCAAUCAAAUAGCCGAGAAUAAAUUGUUUUUGCCAGUCCAUCUCUACUGACUGUUGCACUUCCCGGGUCAAGGCUCCGUUUUAUAACUUCUUCGGGAGUGAUCAUGACACGCUUACAUAAUGCAUCUUCCAAGGCAUCAGCAUCACACCUGAUUCAAUAUUGACAAACAGACUGAAAGGUAAUUGAAUAUCAUAUGGACAGAAGUAAUAAUACAAAAGCAUUCAUACAUCAGAAGCUCAGCAGCCGUUUUCAGGUGGAAUUCGGCUUUGCUAUCUUUAGGAAUGGAUGAGUCGGUUUCCUUUCCUUUGGCAAAAUCAAUAUUACCAAGAUGAAGAAUUGCAGCAACAAUUCUGAAAAUGGCUUCCUGAAAAAAGACAGCAUAAAAAAGCAGAAAGAUAGAAAGCAAUGAUUCUCUAUUCUAGCAAGAACAAAGCUAAAUCCAUGCUUGUGAAAUAAGUACCUGAUCUUUGUGACCUAUUCCAACAAUACCCAUAGCUCUACGGGUGGCGAGAUACUCAUGAGCAUCAUUUACAUCAGCCAGUUCAUAGCAUUGUGACUGGUUAAGGUAGUGAAACGAUUUAGGAUUUCCUAAUUUGUAUUUCUCAAUUUCCUGUCGGCAGAACUUGGAUGAGCUUACAUAAUUGAAUGAAUCAAACAAAAAGUAGAUUGUAGACGGAGAGCUACCUCCUGUGGUGCGGCGCAAAGAAGAUAAAAGCAGUGGUAGUUUCGUUCAGGAUCAUUAAUUUGACAGACCCGAGAUCUCUCUAGAAGGUAUGUUCGGAUGGCUGCUCCUGAGAUUCUUCCGCUCUUAUCAAAUUGGAUCUCAACAAAUUUACCAAAACGGCUGCACCAUUAAAAACAUAGGUAAUAACUUAGACGUAAGUAUCAUAUUUCAUUUAUGUUAGCAAAAACAUUUCCUUUUCUGGAAAGAAAGUUAAAUAAAACUAUUCAAAAGUCAUCAUUCUAACUGUCCAUAUUAACACAUCAAACUAACUUUUGGCAAUAUGAAGUGGGUACUAGAGAAGUGAAAUGAAACAACUGAAGAGAGGAAAGACAUGGAAUCCUUUAGUGAAAAAGACGGACAAAAAAAGUUAGGUUAUAUAUAUCAGACAAUCAGAGAGAAUAAAACCCAUGGAAUCAUUUAUUGCCCAGAUAUAAGAAAGUCUCACCUGGAAUUGUUAUUCCUGACAGUUUUGGCAUUGCCAAAUGCUUCCAGAACUGGAUUUGACUGCAUUCGUAUUUAAAAGUCUUUAUAUCCAAAGAAAAAAUGUUGUUUUUAAAAAGAAAAGAAGAAUCGAAAUUUUGUUACAAGUUCAAUAAUGAGUGCCAUUAAUUGAAUCAUACUUCAAGAACUUGUUGUUCAACUGUUCUUCCUUCAGUCACAGCUCUACCACCUAAGAAAGCUAGGAAUUGCAUAAUCAUUUUUGUAGUUUCAGUUUUACCAGCUCCACUUUCCCCACUGACCAGAAUUGAAUUGUUUUUCCAUUCAGUAACCAUUGCCCUGAUAUUAAUAAAAUCAUCAAUUAAUAUUUGCUUCAAUGGUAGAAAUGAGAUUUGAAUCAUAAUAAGAAAUUUAAGAUUACCUAUAUGCAACCUCAGCUACUGCAAAUACAUGAGGGCUUAGUUCUCCAAGUGGAUCUUCCUUGUAUCGUUGCAUCAUGUGCGCACCAUAAAUAUGAGGCAGCGUUUGGAAUGGAUUUAUUGCGAUCAGAAUGUUUCCAGUAUAAGUCUGCCAUUGAAAUUAAGAAUAUUGGUAACAAUUUCUACAUUGAUUAACUUCAUUGGAUCUUAUGGCAUCAAAGGGAAGAAAGCCUUACAUAUAUUUUAUUCAAUUCAUAUCUAGCUUUUAAGUUCUGCAGGACUCCAGGCUCGUGCAAAUAGGACAGUUUAGUCAUAUCAUCCACUCCACCAGGAAGAACUUCCGUAUCCUUAGGAAGUAUUUUUGAUAAAUUUGCAACCUUGAAAUAGACAAAGUAGUAGUACAUGUAAUAUAAUUCAGAUGUAAUUUUUGGCUUCAUAAGUUACUGAAACACUUUUCACUUUUACCAGUCAGCAAUACAAAGCAUGAUAAAGAACUAGUACUACACCAAGCAAUGGAGAGAAAACACCUCUAGAGGUAGAGAAAUAAUUAUAUUUUCCUACUGUAGAGUUCAGUUACUAAAGAAAAAGCAGGAAUACAGUAGACACAGAUAGAGUGGCUAACUUGUUCUCGACUCCCAUAACUUGGAAAAAGAUUUUCAAGACAUUAAACAUAGUUAAAUAAUUUUUACAUAUAUCAUAAUGAUUAUUUGAAUACUGAACUGGGAUGAUCAACAGUAUAAAAAAUAAAAAAAUUUGUUUGUGCAUCUCUUCUGUGGUCACUUUUUCGAGUUUCUUUUCCCCCUUUAAUCAACUUGAAACUCAGUCACAGUAGACGUGCAUUGUCCUUUUUUCUUGGCCGUGGAGCAUUUACUAAGUAUAAACCUAGGUUGAUCACAAGGAAGAAAUGAGAUGAAGCUGGAACAAAUAUGAAGGGGUUCCAAAUGUGAAAAUUAUUAUGGUUCAGGCAGGCGAAAUUAAUUUUAUUUUUAGAAUAAAAAAACAAAGACGAAAAAGGAAUUGCCCAAGGCACCUUUCAGUAGCAUUUUCCCCUUCCUAAAGGAGAGGUAAAUUGUUCACACCAUAGCUAUUCUAUCUUUCUUCUGUACCAAGUGUUGUCAUACAAUAAGCCUGUGUGAAAUAUGUAGCCUAGUUUAAAUUGACUCCAGAACUCAAGCCUAAUUUAUCAUUGACUAAAAUCUGCAGCAAACCUACCAAUUUUUCUUAAAUUAAAUAGGUCAUGAAAAAGGGGGGAAAUAUAAAUUCUAUAAAAAAGGAACCAUGUUACUGACAGUGUACAAACCUUUUUUCCAUCGGUAGUUUCAACUUCAGCAUCCUUUUCAUUGAUUUUUGAUACGUACCCGCCAAUCCAAGCUUCCUCUGGAUCUUCAAUCCAGACAUGAGAACCCACAAUAAUAUUCACUGGAGUCCCCUGCAGAUGAAGAUGAGGAAUCAUCAUUUAUUCUAAGAUCUCAUUUAAGUUCUAAAUAAUGAUUUUUUACACCACCUUGUCAGUAAGAAAAGCUAAUAAAGAUUUAUAAAUUCCAAACUAAACUAGAAUAUGUAUCAAACAUGUCUUGUAUUUUCUAUCACCUGGUUAGAAAGGACCCUGAUACUAACAUCAAAACAAAAAAAAAAAUAUAUAAGAAUCUUAUGCCAUAAUUACCACAAACGGUGUAGCCUAAUAACCAACUGGAUACUGCAUUGAUAGAAAAGUCAGUUUUAUGGCCAGCUACCGGCAGUACGAGAAGAUAUUUAUUUCGCAUUUUGGCGUAUUAUUAGGAGAUGAUUUGAGUUUUCCAAUCUAGAAAAACCCACAAAUAUUCAUGUACUACCACCUGAAAUCAGAAACUACUAGUCUAAAAAUGGUAAUAAAAAGUGUAAGUUCAUGUUUAAAUAAAUACCACCACGAGUCACAAUUCAGAAUCGUAACCUCAAUAUUGAUUUCAAUCUUAAUGUCCCAUCUAAAUCAAUACUUGUUCUAACUAUCAGUAAAAGAAAAGUAGGAAAAAUCCCCUUUUCCCUAAAUGUAACCAAAAAAACAGUGAGAUAAUUCAUCACUUUUCUCACAUUUAUGAGUUCUAUCAAGAAUCGUAAUAAUGAAAUCCUCUGGCAACGGGUAGGACUAAUUUGAUUUGUAUGCAAAGAAUCCGGGGUGGCACAAGCAAAACAAUUACUAUUCGAAAACCUCUUUUUCUUUUACUUUUUGGAAAUUCCAAAGAAUUCACAUUGAUCGUGGAGGAUCGGCGGCAUUACAAAGAAUAACACGACAUGAUGAAUUUGAAUCCAAACUAAUAGAAGAAUAAGAGAAAUUACGUACGUACCAUGGCAGAGGUCUAAGUUGGAAGGGUUGUGUGAGAAAAUUGGUUCAUGAAUUGAAGAGAAGAAAAAGGAAUCGGUGACGGUUAUGGAAAUGUUGAAAGCGAGAAGCCAUUUUUGAUGAAUUUUUGAGAGAAAUGAAAGUGUAAGUGAAUGCGAUUCAACAUUCUUCAAGCUGGCCUUCAACUUCGGCACUUUCUUCCUCUUCCCUUUGCUUUCGCGCCAUUGAGUGGCUACUAACCCCCCCCCCCUCUCUCUUUUUCUCUUUUUUAUUGGACACCGUUAUAUUCAUUCUUUUACAUAAAUCUUUUCAUUUAAAUUGUACAAAAAUAAAAUAAUAGUUUUCCCUCGAUGUAUAUAUAUAACAUUAACCUUUAAUCAAAUUCAUGAUCAGAUAAUCAUGAGUUGGAUGCAUCGAAAUAACUUACAAGACAAUUCAUUUGAGGACCUUGUCAUUGAUGAUAGAAGAAUGUAAUAAUAAUACCACUACCAAAAAAAAGAAGAAUGUAAUAUGACUCGUCAUCCGUAAAAAUUGAGAAUGAACAUAUUUUAAACAAAAUUGAAAGAGAACAAAAAGAAAAACAUAAAGGAAACUAUUUUUUAGAGGAACAUAAAGGAAACUUGAAACAAAUACCGUAUAAAAUAGGGACCACCAUUAAACAAAUGUCAAAUAGGCAUCACCACUAAAAAAAAACGUAAAAUAAAAUAGGGAGCACAAGUAAACAUAAGGAUUAAACAGUCAACUCAACUCACAUGGGACCAACUUCAAUUAAACAUUGACAACACAAGACAAGUGAGAUUAUUUAACAACAUACAUCAAAAAUCUAAAUCACUUAAACACAUUGAUGAAAAAGAUUUGUGUCCGAAAUGAAAACCUAAAUAAAAAAUCAAAUUCAAACCAAAACCCUAACUAAAUACUCGCCUUUGUCGCAAUUGUUUUACAAGUUGACAAAAAAAAUUCAUUAUCAGAUCAUAUGUAAGUUAACACUCGUUAAGAGACACACAUUUCUUAUCAAGUAAAUCAAUCUAUUGUUGAUACACAUUGACAAUUUCUAAUUGUCUCUAAACAAUACAAACCAUUAAAAUAACAAUCUGAAACUAAAUAGAUGGUUUAAUUUGUUCUCCAUUUACAAUGAUCAAAGAUUGUUUUAUAACUUCUUAAGUUUUUUUUCCGCACGAAAGGAGUCUGGCUUUAUAAUCGUAGUAGUAGAAAUUCAAAUUUUAGUGAUAAAACACUAUGAUGUUUGAUUUAUGUAGCCGACCCAACUUAGUGGAGAUAAGGUUUAGUGUGGUGGUUGUUGAUUAGUUAGGUAGCAGGCUCAUGCAAAUUAAGUUGAAUGAACAAGUAGAGAAUAAUUGUUGACCUUGAAAUUGAGGAGGCCAAAACUUUACACACGAGCAUAGAAACAUGCAUAAAGUUACUAGUACUAGUACACAAACAUAGACAACGUUUUGAUUCAUUGCCUUUUAAUGAAACAUAAAACAGACAAAACAUAACAUCUGAAGUCUAAUAAGCAAGCUUAUCCUUCACCUACUUAACUUAAUGUUCAUUGCCUAAUCCUCCUAACUAAAAAGGCCAGGAACUAAUUAGUUUUACCAUUCUUGCUUAACUAAUUCCCAUCACCAGAAGAUUUCAGGUAAAGUGUUUCGCCGCCAUCACCAGAGUGACCACUAGAGCUUCCACCGCGGCCAUCAGUGCUUCCAAUGUCUUGCUUACCACUGCCGUGCAAACCAUCACCGGCUGAGCUACGGCCAAAAUCAGGAAAACCAGCCCCUAGAGAUGAAUUGCCUCCAACAUUAGCCCCUUCACUAUGCAACAUGUGAAGGCCUUGACUUCCACUGGAAUUCAUACCAAGUUGGCUUUGCAAGGCUUGCUGCUGUUGAAGCUGUUGAGCAUACAUAAGAGAGGAACGUGCAGCCAUUAAUUGUUGUUGUGUCAUCUGCUGAGCUUGUUGAGCCUGCAUGUAGUGUCCUCCCUGCUGCAUCAUUCCACUUGAAGGGUACUGCAGUGUCAUUCAAAAGAUUGUUAGGCCAAAUGAUCAAGUAAGAAGAAAAAAAAUUGUUCCUAAAUACAAAUUUUAUUUCAAAUUACUUGAUACAUUUAUUAUUAUUUUUCUAAAUAUAAAUACACUUAAUUAAUACCACUAAGAAACUUGAAAGAUGAAACGUAAGAGUUAAACAUAUUCAUAUAUAAAUGGGUAUUUUAAGAACAUCUAGACAUGUUAAAAAUAACUAUCUAUUUUUCCUAAUAUAUGCAAAACAUAUAAAAAUAAAAAUAAAAAGGACAUAAUAAGAGCUAGAGUUUGGUAAAUGGAUCAUUGCAAUUGCAAUAUUGCACAAAUCAAUCAUUGUUGUGAGGUGAACCCCUUUCUAAGUGGUCACUUGUACUUAACAACAUUCUGAAAAUAGCUAGGGAUGUACCUGGCCAGGCAUAGUAGGUGGUUGGGGUUGAGAAUCAGCUAUUGCAGCUAGGUACAUGAGAUUUCUCUGAAGCCUUGAUUGGUUCCUGAAAAUAUAGCACCACAAUGAUUAUUUAGGGAAAAAUCCAAUAAUUGUUUUGGUAUUCUUCUAUCUCAAGCCAAGCAAACACAAAUUUCAUCUCUGAUAAACCACCCUCCCCCACCAAAAAAGCUAUUACUUAUGAUAAAACUUUGAAGAUGCUUUUGCCAAAAAGGUUGUGACUUUUUAGCAUCAAGUCAUAAUGUUUUGAAACUCUGGUCAAUGAUUAUAUAGAACUGUAAAAAAAAAGAACUUUAUUUUAUUAAGGUUUGUGGGGUAUCCUACUCCAACAUCUUAGAAAAAGCCUGCAAAAUACAGAAAGUGACAAUAAUUUGAUUGAAGUAUACUUAUGAAGAAAUGAUAAACACAAAUCAAAUCAACUGUUCUUACUCAGCACACUCGGUGAGCUUGCCAGUGUUCUGGCUUUCAACAAUCUUGAGAAUCAAGGACUUGUUCUCAUCAAGAUACUGCAUCAAAAAAAAAAAAAAAGGGUUUUCACUGAACUGUCUGAAACUGAAAGAGUCUGAGAAGAGCACAUGCAGUUCAGAGUAUCCAAUGGAAUUGAAAGAGAAAGGAGAAGAAGAAAGAAGAAAGGAACCUGUUGAAUAUGAUCAGUAGUGACGUUGUUAGGAUAGUAAGCUGCCAUCAUGGGCUGCAUCUGCAUCAGGUGCUGCUGCAUUUUGAAAUUUCUGUUAAAUAUUUUUAUCUGAGUUCAAAUCCAAACAAAGGGGUAUGACCCUGUGACCUGAACAAGAGCAGAAAGAAACACAACACAACACAGCACAGCACAACAGAACAGAGAAACAGAAGAGUCUGGUCUGAUUUUCUCUGUGUUACUGUUGAUGAAUGAUGAUGCUAUGUUAUGUUACUACACAACACUUAGAAGAGUGGUUUUUUUCCUGAGGCGGCUAAAGAGGCAAUGGUAAUAUUAUGAGGUGGGUGGGGUUGGGUUUGCUUUUGCCUCUACAAGUAGAAGGAACUGCGUGCGUGUCUUUUUCUCUCUCCAAAUUCCAAAAUCUGCCUCACUCACGUGAUGCCCUCGUCAUCAUACAAAACACAAGGACAGACACUUGCUUAUUGUAUUAAUUUUAUGGGUUUUGCUUACCAAUCCUAAAGGUAAUGGUUAAGGAUGUCAAAAAUAUAAAAUUUUUAUUAAAAAUAACAAUUUUUUGACUUUCAUAAAGUUAACAUUCUACUUUUCACCAAUUUUCAAUGCAUAAUUUUUAUAUUUAUCUUCUUAAUCAAUAUUCUAAGAGCAAUGGUUAGCAUUUUUAUUGAAAAAUGGUAGGGGGAUAAAUGUAGUGAGAUACGUUAUUUGAAUAAUGGGUCUCGUUAACAAGUGUUUUUAGGAUAUUAGUUAAGAAUUUUAAAUUAAAAAUAAUUGAUAAGUUUUAUGUAAAAAGGUUACUUCUUCAAGUUUCAAUGUGUUGAAGGCCUCAAUUCUAAUACAAAAUUCAUUUUUAAGCUUUUUAACAAGUGUCUUAAAGGCACUUGUUAGCAUUUUCCUUGAAUAAUUACUACUCCCUCCGUUUCAAAAUAUAAGCAAAAUUCAUUUUUUAGAUUCAUUCAUUUAAUGAUGUAUGUGGUCCAUAAUAUGAACCACAUACAUCAUUAAAUAAAUGAACCUAAAAAGUGAAUUUUGCUUAUAUUUUGAAACGGAUGGAGUAUUUUUUAGACACUUAACACCAUUUUAAUGGAGAGGUCUUAACCUUUUACUCGAUACUUAUUAGAUAAAAAAAAAUAAAAAUUUAGGAUCAUUUAGGAUUGGGUCUCACUUAAGAUUGCAUUCUUAGAGGAAUGUACAUUUUUUUAAUGUUAAAAAAUUGAUAUUUUUUUUUUUUUACAAGUAAAAAAUUGAUAUAUGAUAAUAUAAAGUUAUUGAUAGUUAAUUAAUAAAUUUUAUUUAAGAAAUUUGUGUAAGAUAUCGAGUUUAAGAAAUUAAAUGUUUAUUUAAUACUAUUAUUAAAAUAUUAUAAAUAAGUAACGUGUAUAUAUGAAACACCUUUAGUAUUAAAAAUGUGUGUCUUCAAUACGGAUGUUGUUGCAGGACUAUAUAUGGUAUAUAAAAAAAUGUAGAUGUUGAUAUCAAGCUUAAAUAAUAUAAAAAGAAUGAGAAUAUAAGAAAGAUAGAUGUUUUAAAAGUGAUCAUAAAAUAGCUCUACAAAUACACGUAAAAUCUAGUUCAACAUGUUAAUGUUAUAAGAUUAAGUGCUUGUUCAAAAAAAAAAGUGUUAUAAGGUUAAGUGAUUUCAUCUAAUUUUAAACUCAUGAUUUUGCUUAUGUCAGUUGCAAAUAAUAUUUACCAAUUCGUUGACCGACAAACAAUAGAAUCAAAUAGAUAUCAUAUGUUUCAUAUUGGCAAUUUUUUAAAAGUUUAAAAAUCGAUAUUUCAAAUGUAAAAUUUUCAUGGUUUGUUUUUCUAACUUGUAAGGGGGUCCUAUGUAAGAUUUGGUAUAAUUUAUAGGUUUAAGAAUGAGUUAUCAGUUGAGGGAGAUGAGUGGGGGUAGUGUAGGAGAGUUUUGAAUGGAAAACGAAGUUGGUGCCUCGGUGGGGAAGUGUUUGGCCAUAUUGGAUAAAAUUAAUGUGAGUAAUCUGAAAAUAAUUAAAGUGGUCAGAAUAUUUAUAAUAGAGACAUUUAUUUUUAGAUUUUUAAACGGAUGUCACGUGUACAUAUAACUAAUUUAUAAUUUUUUAAUAAUAUCUAUUUAUUAAGGAUAAUUUUUUACUUUUUCAUAUAAAAUUAAUUAAAUUUCUUAAUAAAUGUGAAAUGUCAAAACGUCAUAUAACUUAAGACGGAGAGGGUAUUUUUCAUUCUCUAAACCUUUAUGAUUGGAAUGUGCAAGUAUCUCAUAUUUAUAAAUAAGUCAAUAGUCAAUGUUGCGUUUUUUUUUGUCGGGUAAUCUAAUGGUUAUAAUUCACCUUAUAAGAUGAAUAAGUGAAGUGUUCGGAAUUCGAACCUCGACUCCUGCAUAUAAUAAUAUAUUGUCCUGCCAAUGCUCAUGGGACUAAUCAAUGUUGCCUUUAUAUUGGUUUCAUUGUAUUCUAUUGAUGACAUGAUUUAUUGAUGUAAUAUCCCGAUUUUUAACGUGAGUGUAUUUUUUUAAACAAACAACUUGCGAAAAUAUUUAUAAUCACUCGCAUUCCCCACAAAAAGAGUAAAUAUCAGAACAAGGAACAUAUUGGGUUAGCAACCAAGCUAGCACGAGUAGGUACACAUUUGCGACAAAAAUACGCCACAAUAAAUUAGGAGCACUGGCUUUCCAAAGUUGUUUUCAAUUCCCGGCAACAUGGUGAAGAUUUGUGUGGAAAAAUCAUGUCAUAUCCAACCGGUACCUGAACUUAACCGUAUACAAUCCAUGUUUUCCAUUCGUCCACAAGACGUGAUCUUUGGAGAGAGAGAGACUCAAACAGAAGCGUGUCAACUAUUACACGAGCAACCUAUGUGUAUGUGUGUUGAGGCGAUAUAGUAGUACAAUUUUUAUAUCAGCAAUGCUAUUAACCACGAAUGAAAAUAAACGAAAACCAUGAAUUGUACUAAAGUGAAAAAGUGAUUUUCACAAACAUUUUUUUAAUAUAAAAAUAAAAAAAAAUAAAAUGUAGCAUUCGGUGGAAUACAUGCCAUCGUAUAGUAUAAUUCGUAUUUUCCGUGGAUUCAGUUUCGUGGGAAAUGGGCAUUUCCCUUUUUAUAUUCCCUAGAUCCUUUUUUAUAUGAUCAUGUAACAAAGAUCACAAUUAUUAAUUUACCUUUUUCCUUCAAAAUUUUUUUUUAUUAAAUUACUUUUUUCUAAACCAAAGUAAUCAAUAGAAAAAACCUAAUCAAGGCUGAUGAAAUUAUAUUGAAGGACAAUGAAGAUAAUUGAAGACAAACAAAAUUAAAUAAUUAUUUAUCAUUGUACGAGGAAUCUUUUGUAGUGGAGGAAAGAAAAGCAAAAAAUAUUUUAAAAAAAAAUUGUCAUGUAAAAUGUUUCAUCCAUUCAUAAAUAUAAACAAAAAUGUGUUAAAAAAAAACUUGUUGAAUCUCAAAAUAAGAAGAUAAAUUGAUAGUGUUAAUAAAUUUUAUGUUUUUAUUUUGCAUAAACCAUGUAUUUUUUGCCUGCAACAGAGAUUUAUCUCUUGAGUUUUAUGGGACUCAAAUGAACUACAAAUUCUACCUAAAAAUUUUAACGUUGUUGUGUGCACAAAACUCGAAUCAAACCCAAACUUUUGUUAAUGCAAAAUAUAUUUUAAAAAAUAAUAAUAAAAGAAUCUAAAAAAAGAGUAUAUGUAGUUACAACACUAUUUAAUCAUAGUUACAUCUCAAAAUAACAAAAUUAUCCUUCCAUAAAAUUUAAUUUUCAAAAAGUCUCUUUCUUCUUACUUUGUUACAACCCAAAACCCCUAUUCAGUUUAAGUAUGUCAUGUAAGCUAAGUUUAAGUGUACAUAUUUAAACUCAAUUUAAGUAGGUUAUGUAAACUUAGUUUACGUAGGUCAUGUAAACUGAGUUUAAGUGUACCUAUUUAAAUUCAUUUAAACUCAGUUUAAGUAUGUCAUGUAAAUUGAGUUUAAGUGUACAUCUAAAAAGUUCAACAUAAUCUCGAUUUUAGUAUGUACAUGUAAACUUAAUUUAAAUAGAUCAUGUAAACUCAAUUUACAUCAAUUACGUAAAUUAAGUUUGAGUAAAUUUACAUAAAUCUACUUAAACUGAAUUUAAGUUAACCUCGACAAUAUAAAAUCGACACAGAUAUGUAACUUAAAUUUAAGUAAACUUAUUUGAGCAAUGAAGUGCAUAAUCAAGAUCAUUUUAAAAUAAAAGACGACAAAGAUAUGAAAGUAAAAGAAGACGACAAAGAAAGAGGGGAGGUAGUAGGUCUCACACACACUCACACUUAUUAAUGUGUUGAUGAUGUGUGUGUAAGAGAUUCCCAGUCUGUACCCAUGCAUCGUAUUACGCGCUCGCCGCUCGUCAUAUCCCUGCCAAUUCACCUUGACCUUCGUGUACCAAUGCAGAUUACUCUACUCUUUUGAUUCCAUGCACAUGCUAAGUUUUCACUGCAUCUAUUCCCGUUCCAAACCUUUUUUAAUCUAAAUAUCAUUCUUGUAAUAACACUACUUUUUUUAGAUCAUGCUAACUUGUAUUGGAAUGAUCGUAAUUAUUCUUAAAAUUAUUAUAAGUUGAAUUAAUUAUUUUUCAAUAUAAUAUUUCUACGUGUUUGUUGUAAAUGUACAAUUUCAAACCACAUCAAUGCAUUUGAAUUGUAAAAAUUAUUACUUUUGCGUUGUCGUGACUUUUUACCGCAAGUUUGAUCAAAUUCAACGCAGAUCCAAAUAUAUGCUUAGUUUCAUUAUUAAAUCUUUAAAUUAUUAAAAUAUAAUUGUUUAUGUGGAUCCAAACAUAUCGUUAAAAAAAAUGAUUUUUAAUUUCUUGAGGUAUAUGUAUUUCUAUAUUUCAUUUACUUAUACCUUGUUAUUAGUCAUUAUAUAACAGUUCAGAGGUCCAGGUCCAGGGCCAGGGGAAUAUACUACCUCUGAAAGACGUGAGUAACUUUUUUGAAAAGUCUACUAAGACACUAAGGGUGUGUUUGGAUUGGAAAAGAAAGUGUAAGGAAAGAUAAUAAAAAAAAAGAUUGUUGAAGGAAUGAAAGUUAAUAGAAAGUGAGAGAAAAAUGUGAUGAUUUUUUUGAUUGUUUGGUAAAAGUAAAAGUGAAUGGAAUGUGAGAAGAAGGAAAGUGAUAUAUUUUGUAAAUGACAUAAAUAUCUUUACAUCAUAAUAAAAUAUUAUCAAUGGAAAAAUUAAUGUUAAUAUUUAUAUUAAUAUAUGUAUAUAUUUUUAUAAUACUGUAUUUUAAAAUAAAAUAUUAUUAUAGAAUUUAUUUAUUAAUUAAAUUAUUGAUGCCUCAUUCUUAUAAAAUAUUUGUUGCAAAUCGAGAUGCAUUUGGUACGUAUAACCACUAUUGCAAGCAAAACUGGAAAAUAACUCAAGCAUUUCAACCAAAGCAACGGUAAGAAUGUUCAUUUGAAAAAAUUGAACAAUCUUCCGGUUUUCUUCACAAUUUUGGACAGAAAGCUUUUAUGUUGUAGGUCCCACCAAAAUUGAUCUUUCCUCACCCUUUCUUUGGAGAUCCAAACUAUGAAAGCCCAAUUUCCCAUAAACUUUCAAUCCUUUAUAACAUCUUUCCUUCCUCUGUCAGUAAUUCCAAACACAGCCUAAGACCAUGAUGAAUUCUAACUCAUCUAUAAACAGCAUUCCAAAUUUGUCUGUAAAAAUCAUAAUGCAUAAAAAGAUGAUCCCGAUCCUCCAAAUUAUCACACACUCCCAUACAAAGUUAAUCAUUAGCCGAGAUCACCCUCUCCUAAUUAAAUUGUCAUUCCUUGAAAUACAAUUACAAAAGAAGCAGCCACACGAAGACUUACUUUUAGAAAAACCUCUCAAAUUAAACGAGUGUUUUCAUCAAUAAUGUUUUGGUCCGUCGAGGAUAAAAAAUUAUAAGUACUAAUGAAAUUUUACCUUUUUGAAGCAUGCAAAUUCCAAAGUCACGUGUUAUUCACAUCCUCUACAAAAUAACAAGAUUCAACAAAACAAAACACUGUCCCAAUUGAACCUCCUCCCAUACUCACUACCUCUUUCGCCAUUUUCAGACCUCGCCAUCUUCACCCCAACCUAUUUGUUUUAUCCCAUUCAAUGUUGUCAUUUUACAUCAACAAGAUAAAAAGGGUGAUUGAACAUAACCUUCAAAAUCCCUCUGUCACUUUGUUUAUUCUAAAAGACAACCAUUUUGUUGUCAAUUAUACAUUGUAUAUAAAUAAAUAUCUAUUUGUUUGUAGGUAAAAGUAACGUUUGAACGAUUGCUUGUAUAUUUAACUAACAACUUAAUUGUCUGUCAUGAUAAGUGGUGUUAAAUUUCUUUUCAAUUCUUUUUAAAUGAAAAAAUUGUCAAGAUUAUAACAGAGUCUCCAAAUUGUUGGAGACGACCCUCAUUAUAACUUAACCUAAUUAUGCUCCCAUUAAGUCGAAUUCAAAAUUGCUAGGAACUAUUUCAAAAGACAUUUCUACUCUCAUAUAUGUUGAUUAUUGUCUAGUUGCAACAUCAAAAGCGAAUAGAGAAAGCAAUUUUCUCAAGGAGAAAAGUUUGUUUGGUAAGUUGUAAAAACGUUAACUUGUGUGAACAUCCUUUUAUAAAAUGAGGAGUGUUACGGCCAUUCUCUUUUUAAUACUAUCUUUAACACACUUUUUUAUUGUGUGAAAUCACUAUGAAAUUCACAUUUUAGAAAUGACUUCUACAUAAAAUGGUGAGAUUCAUAUAUAAAUUGCAUCGACAAGAGAGUGAGUAUUCUUAACAUUUCUCAUUUAAAUAUACACAAUUUUUUCCAAAUGCACCUCUUAUUCACUUUGGACAAAUUAAUACACAUGUUAUAUUCAUGGGCUAUGUCUACAUGACUACUAUCUCUUUAGAUCAAACUUAGAUAAAUUCAUUAUUCUCUUUAUUUAUGAUGUGAGAAUAAGGAGAGGCAGGAAGAACAUCUUAAAACGACGUUGCUAAUGUUGAAGGGCAAAAGUUUGUUUGAUAAGUUGUCAAAACGUAAACUCUAGCUAAAGAGGUAAGUGUUCUUUGUAUGUGAUUUCAACUUGUGGAAUCGAGGUUAAUCUGUCAAAUGUAGAAGUCGUUUAACAAUGAAAGAUGCCAAAAAAUGUUACUUAGAUUAACAUUAUUUUAGACUAUAGCAUGCUAUUAUCGAAGAUUCAUUAAAUGAUUCUCUAAACUCGCAUUAUUGUAGACUUGUUUGACAAAAAAAUAUUUCUUAUGGAAUUCAAAAUGCGACGAAAGCACCUUAUUAUACAUAUCUAACGAGUUCUUAUUUUGAGAUUCAACAAGUUUAUUUUAAUACAUUUUUGUUUAUAUUUAUGAACGGAUGAAAUAUUUUACAUGACAAAUUUUUUCUAAAUAUUUUUUGUUUUUCUUUGUUGCACUACAAAAGAUUCCUCGUACAAUGAUAAAUAAUUAUUUAAUUUUGUUUGUCUUCAAUUAUCUUCAUUGUCCUUCUAUAUAUUUUCAUCAUCCUUGAUUAGUUUUUUUUCUAUUGAUUACUUUGGUUAGAAAAUUUGGUGGAUUUCCCUUUCCCCAUUACUUUGGCUAAACCAAUUCAAACUGCUCCGCACACAUCUAACUACCAUAGAUCAUUUUUUAGAUAAAUAAUGGCAAAUAUGAUAUUUUUUAUUUUGUAUGUGUAUUUUUAAAAGCGCAUGUAAAUUAUACAAAAAUAAAAAGUACAAGAGAUUUUAUAAACAAAAUACGUAAAAGUGAGAUAAAUAUAAUGUUAUUUGUAUUUCGAUGUGUAUUUUGAUUUACCAUUAGUCGAAGCAGACAUAAAAUACUGUGUUGGAUUAUGUAUGAAUGGAAAUGGAGUCAAAUCUGAAAAAGUAAGAUAGGUGGUCCUCAAACAUGAUGGAUGGUUAGGGUGUGUCUAUUGAUUUGUGUGCAUAAAUUCCAAUCCUGUCUUUUCAGCCAUAUGUUCCCUUUCUCUGUAGGGUCUCACCCUUUCUUCAAAAAUCAAUAUCACUCACGCGCUCUCUCCUUCUUCUGCGUAGAACAAAUUUUUAGAGUAAUAAAGGAAAAAAUCAUGUUAAAAUGAAAAAUAGUCUUAAAUAAAUAUUUAUAUUGACAAAAUACUUUAUUAGACAACUCAAAUAAGUUUUGGUAUGAACAAUAAAUUAUGAUACACAAAGGUUAAAUUCAACCUUCAAAUCAUACUUAUUCAUUUUAAAAGUGAAUUUUAACCAUUAAAAAGAGUAAUAUGUUAUAGUGAGAUGUAGGUGUUGAAGAAUUCACAUAAAUCUUCCCAAACCUCUCAAAAAUCUCCUCAAUACAAUUUUUUGUUCUUUAAAAGAGCAGGAUUUUAUAUUUUGAAGAAAAAUAACGCUUUCCAAAAUCUCUCCUCUCAAUAUUUUCUAUUUUUUUCACUUACUCCUUUUAUUCUAAACCCUCACUUUCAAACUCGCAAAUAAAGUUUUAGACACUUGUUAGUAGCAUUUUUUUUAGUAGUCAUAUUUGAACAACCAUUUUAGACAACUUUUGGUACAACUUCUUUUUUCUCACUUUUCAUUGGUCAAAAACAAUGGAGAGAGAAAAAGGAAGAGAGAGAAUAAAAACAUAACGUGAGUAUGAGAAAGAAAGUUAUUAAAAAGUUGUCACAAAGUGGAUAUACAAAUAUCAUUUCUCUUUUCUUUUAUAUGUGAGGGCGUGAGAUCUAGGUGUUGAUGAAACACUCACUUAAAUGCGUUUGGUGUUGGUUGCAAUGUGAACAACAUAUACCACAGUGGGUUUUGCAUUAGUUACAACGUACUUUGCAAACCAAUCACAUCAUGAAUGGUCCACUUCUGGAGCAAAGACCAAACUAUUUGCAUUGCAUUUCACGACUUUUGGCUCUUAUGUGCAGUUAGUACUAUUGUUUUUCUCCCUUAUCUCUGUCCUUCACCAUGUGUGACCUAAUGCUAAUGCCCCACACACACCUUUGUAAUUUUCUUCCCAUCUUUACACCAUAUAUCAUGGUAUUGCCCGAGGAACAAUAAAAUGCGGUUUUAUAUAUUAUAUAAAAGAACAAUGAUAUUUGAACAACCAUUUGCUAACAACUUUUAUGAUAACCUCAUUUCUCACUCUAUUUAUUGAUCAAAAAUAAUGGAGAGAAAAAAAAGAAGAGAGAGUAAAAAUAUAAUGCGAGUAUGAGAUAGAAAGUUGUCUAAAAUUUAUCAAAAAAUAAUAGUACAAAUAUCAUUUCUCUAUAUAAAAACACAUUAUUUACAACUAUUAGUUUGAUUGAUUUAAAGAGAGACUAGUAUAAACCUAAUAAAAAACAAAGUCGUUUCUACAUCAUGUGUACAUAUAAAGAAUGCUGUAUCUAACAAAAAAAACUUAAUCGUGAAAGCAUCACGAAAGGCUAUAUAAGAUAGAGGUAAAAAUUGAAUGGGUGUUGAAUUAUGAGAGAGAAAAUGAUGUGGAGUGUUGGAAAUUAAAAAAGUGGAUGUUGAAGGAUAUUGAAAAUUUGUAACCAUUGCACAUGAUGUUACGAGGCUUCAACCGAACUGUCUGGUCUGAUGUCCAUGGUUAUUGCUAUGGUUACGUUGUCUAUCUAUUUUCCACUGGUUGUAGAAAUCUGAAGCAUUGGGCAUAAUAGUUGCACAACAAAGUCAAUAUGUUGAUUUUCCGACAAAGAUUCAAUUAAUUUGAAACAAUUUGAUUGAAUCCCUCACAUUUUCACAUGUUUUUUUAUAAGAUUUUCUCUAGUUAAUUGGAAGACAUUCCCGAAUUGCAUGCUAAAGAAAUAAUUUAAUCUUUAGGGGAAUACUUGGUUUCCACAAUUUCAACCGGUUACCUUAACCUAAACGUGUGAAUUAUCAAUCAAGUCUUCCGUUUUCAAUAAGAGAAAUUCUACUAUGAUCACAUAUAUAAAUGAAUUGUGUUUAGACACACACAUUAAAUGAUUUUUUUAAUAAUAAAAAAGAAAUUGAUGAUAAAAUAAUUUAGUAUUUUAAUUUUUUUUUAUUUUAUAUAUGUGUGAUCAAAUACUAUUUAUUUAUGUUUGUGGCAUUGAAGAAUGUCUCGUACAAUAAUACACCAAUUUCACCUUAAAGACACCAUCCUUGUUCUUGCAACAGCAUAUUAAUAAGUGUAGUUUCAUACUCCAUCCGUUUUGAAAUGAGUGUCGCUUUACUCAAUUGCACACAUAUUAAGGAAUUGAAUAAAGUAGUCAAAUGUCAUAACAAUUUUACCAAAUUAUCUUAAUCAACUAUUGAUUUGUUUUUCAAAGAAAAAAUAAUACUUUGAAAGUAGUGUAACAUAGUAUUAAUUGAAAGGUACAAUUGAAAAGAAAAAGUUAUUAUUGCAUUGUAAACUGAAAGUGACAUUCACUUUCAAACAAUUUUUUUUUUGACUAAAACGACACUAUUUUAAAACACGGAUGAAGUACUAUUCAUUGAAAAGGGCUGAAACCACACUUAUAUACCAAACAGACCAGUCAAUACCCCUACCUAAAUUCUUGUCCAUACCCUACCAAAACAAAUUAAUCAUCAUUUCCAAAUGCUCGUUUAAAGUGGUUAAGACUUGAGAGUAAGAAAAUACUUGUACAAUAUGUGGGGAUCACUUGAACAAUCGAUUUCAAAAGAACUUCUUUACCAACCAUUGAUAUAUAUGCUUACUCGUCCUACUUUGAACUCAUCUAAACUCUAUCAUGCAAAUAACCAAAAGAGAAAUGAUAUUUGUACAACCAUUUUCUUAUAAUUUUUGGGACAACCCUCUCUCUCAUACACUCAUUAUGCCCUUGUUUUCUCUCUAUUGUUUUGAUUUUCGUGUCAAGACAUACAUUUCUUUCUAUAUUCUUGGUUGUCCCAUAAGUUGUACAAAAAGUGGUUGUUCAAAUAACAUACCUCUAACCAGAAUGUUUUUUUUUUUCUUUCUUAUCGUAGGCAACAAUCCUGAAUAUUUCUCCAUUCCGAGACACCCGAUCACUCCAAGAUUCGUUUAAGUAUGGGCGUAUGACCCUUAUUUUGGAUUAGUUUUAAAGUUUUCCUUUUCUUUUUCGAAUCAGUCUUUAUAUUACUUUUUGUUUGUAUUAUUAACCUUUUACGCAAGUUCCAUUUAAAAAAGAGAGUAUGUGUGACAUUUGAAUGUUGCAAGUGUUAGAUCCCUCCUUUUCUUUUCUCCUUUCACUUCUUCGUUAAGUCUAAAUUCUCAAAUCCAAAAAUCUUUGAACUAGAGUAACUAAUUUUCGCAACAAUAUCUUUAUUCAAGAGCAAUGCUUCAAAUUCACGAACUUAAAAUAGUGAGUAACUCAUCUCUAAUAUAAGACGUGAUGAAUAAGCUUCUCAAUGUCGCACAUCUCUUGUUGUGGAACAAAAGUCAUGGCUCGCAUAAUCAUGAAAUAUAACAUAAAGGACAACGGUGCAAGAUAACUUAAGGAUAAAAAGCAAACAAAAGUGUAAUCCAAAUGACCAAUUCCAGAAGAAAAAAAAUAUAAAACAUAAAGGACCAAUCCAAAAUUAGGGUCAAAUUUAAAGGACCGCUCAAAUAACUUUACCAAAAAAUAAAUAAAGAGGUGGUGUUUAAAGAAGUUUAUAACUCUAUAUCAUGCAGCAUCAAUUGUAAUAUCCAUGCAUGACAGCCCGCAAAUUUGAAAAUGUAAAUCAUGAACUACCGUACAAACAAAAAUCAAUCGAAAAUUCCUUAAGCAAUUUGAAUUAAAGUCAUUAGAAUAUGUAGAUAUAGAAAAUUGACCAUUAAUAUUGAUUGUAAAUGAUUAGCAUAAUCAUGAGCAGAUACUUGUAUUGUGUGUAUAUAUAUGACUAUCACAUCAAUGGAAAGAGAUGGCCUAAAGUUAUCUUACAAAGUAUAUGUAUUCUUGUUUGACAAAAGAAUAAUGAAAUAUAUCCAUCUAAUUGAAUUGAAAAAGUAUUGUCUAUAACAAAUUUAUGUACACAUAAACAACUAUUAUAUGAACAACAGCUGGCUGGCUUGCCUUAAUUAGUGGAAAUUGCUCCAAACAUCACACCUAAGGUUGGAUAGGUGGUUGUGGUGGUGGUGGUUGCGCAACAUGGUCGGAAAGAUUCACAUCAGCUAAAGCGCAGCGUCCACGGCUGCGGCCAGGAACUGUCGAGCACGGGUUUGUUUGUGAACCUUGCACGGGACCUCUUUGUAAUGACUGUAUUGCUACAAUUUUCUGCAACAAUAACAAAGGUUUCUCUAUUAACAAUGGCCUUGCCCUUAUUUGUUGUGAACUCAGCAGCAGAAUUAUUGUUGUGAAUACUAACAUUAUUUUCAUGUAGCAACCCAUUAUUUGUGAUGGAGUAACAAAACCAAACAAUAAAAAAUAUUAAGAGAAAAUGAUGAAAUUAUGUAUGGAGGAGUAUUGUGACAUUAGAGGUGUAUGAUCAAGGAGUUUAUAUAUGUUAAAGUAACGUGUGAUCUAAGUCGUAGGAUAUUUGCUUUGACUGAAUAUACACGGCUUGAAAUAUUUGGGAUUAAACAAACACUCUUGCGAAAUUUCCUUCUUUGAAUUACAGUUCUAGUCCUAGUUGAAUGAAUGAGUCUUACAAAUGAUAUUAUUAAUUUCACGUUCAAACAUCACACUAUUUUCCUAAGCUUUUCAUUACGUUUUUUAUACUUGCCGUGUUAUUUUGUUAAGCUCAUAGACUUUGUCAACCAAGCCAACGCAUGUCACUCUGCAGAGUUGAGAAUGGACUUGGGUUAAGCACUUUCUGUUUCAUGAAAAUUUUACCUCAUACUCCCUUAAUUGCAUCUAUACCCUUACAAUUUAUGUUAACCUAAUUUUUCCCCCACACUUUUCAAAAACCACUUAUAAUUCAGGCAAAUUCAAUUUUCAAAAUUAUCGGAAUGAAUAUUUAUCUCGACAUUUUCAAAUUUGAAAUUGCUCGAAUAAAUAUUCAUUGCGGAAGUUUUGAGGAGUGUGUGGAAAAUGAGUUUCAAAUUUUGUUUUUUAUUUGUUGUUACGCAUACUUUAAAUGUUUUGGUAUAAGUUCGUCGUGUUUGUGGUGGGUAGAGAUACAGGUGUAAGGGCGCAAGUUAAAAUUUCUUCCAAAAGCUGAAUUUUUUUAAAAAAAAUUCAUUCUCCGCCACUCUAAAUCAAGAGCACAAAUUGGCAUUGAACACACUUCAAGAUCGUAAGUCAACACAAAUAGACCAACUCAAGCAAGUUAAUCAAGAGCUAAUACUAAAAUCAAACCGCCCACAUUAUUUUGGCAAAUUUUUACUCGUCAUUCUUGAAGAUGUCACUCCCUAUCACAUUAUUUUCAGCAUUUUUUCGUUGGUCUGGUUUUGUCUAGAUAUUUACUUUCGAGUGUGUUGUAUCUUAAAAAAUAUGCACAUCCAAAUGUAUACAUCUAGGCUGAACAUUUUUCUUUAAUUAUUUUCUUACAAGUUACCUUUGAAAAUUUGACUUUAUAACCAAUUAGUUUUGUAUGAACCUAUGAACAACACUGCUAGUCUCCUAUCAUGACCUAGUCAAAUGGUGUCAUCAAGCUUAGACUCUUAAUA
rnacentral:lncRNA from 1 species